rnacentral:rRNA from 1 species
AUUGAACGCUGGCGGCAUGCCUUACACAUGCAAGUCGAACGGCAGCACGGGUGCUUGCACCUGGUGGCGAGUGGCGAACGGGUGAGUAAUACAUCGGAACAUGUCCUGUAGUGGGGGAUAGCCCGGCGAAAGCCGGAUUAAUACCGCAUACGAACUACGGAUGAAAGCGGGGGACCUUCGGGCCUCGCGCUAUAGGGUUGGCCGAUGGCUGAUUAGCUAGUUGGUGGGGUAAAGGCCUACCAAGGCGACGAUCAGUAGCUGGUCUGAGAGGACGACCAGCCACACUGGGACUGAGACACGGCCCAGACUCCUACGGGAGGCAGCAGUGGGGAAUUUUGGACAAUGGGCGAAAGCCUGAUCCAGCAAUGCCGCGUGUGUGAAGAAGGCCUUCGGGUUGUAAAGCACUUUUGUCCGGAAAGAAAUCCUUGGCUCUAAUACAGUCGGGGGAUGACGGUACCGGAAGAAUAAGCACCGGCUAACUACGUG